rnacentral:rRNA from 1 species
UACAGAGGUCCCAAGCGUUGUUCGGAUUCACUGGGCGUAAAGGGUGCGUAGGUGGUGAGGUAAGUCGGAUGUGAAAUCUCCGAGCUCAACUCGGAAAUGGCAUUGGAAACUACCUUGCUCGAGGGUUGGAGGGGGGACUGGAAUGCUUGGUGUAGCAGUGAAAUGCGUAGAUAUCAAGCGGAACACCAGUGGCGAAGGCGAGUCCCUGGACAUCUCCUGACACUGAGGCACGAAAGCUAGGGGAGCAAACAGG